rnacentral:rRNA from 1 species
UACGAAGGGGGCUAGCGUUGUUCGGAAUUACUGGGCGUAAAGCGCACGUAGGCGGGUCGUUAAGUCAGGGGUGAAAUCCCAGAGCUCAACUCUGGAACUGCCUUUGAUACUGGCGACCUAGAGUUCGGAAGAGGUUAGUGGAAUUCCCAGUGUAGAGGUGAAAUUCGUAGAUAUUGGGAAGAACACCAGUGGCGAAGGCGGCUAACUGGUCCGAUACUGACGCUGAGGCACGAAGGCCAGGGGAGCAAACGGG